rnacentral:tmRNA from 1 species
GGGGCUGACUGGAUUUGACGGGAGGGCCAAUUGACAUGUAAGCAUGUAGAGCAUUGUAGGAGUUGCUCUUUAACUUAAACCUUCAAACACUUAAACGGCGAAUACAAUUACGCCAUGGCUGCCUAAUCUUAGAGAUUAAGCGAUUUGCCAUCCGCUCACCGUUGCUAAGUUUGGGCUGCGGCGGAUUUUGAGCGGUCGAAAUGCCCGAAUAGUUGGUGGUGAUCCCUGCUAGUCACUAACUUAUAAGCAGGAUAAGGGUAUGUUAAGGUCUUUGCCUUACCUGGCAUACUUCGAAAAUAAGAGGUAAUAAACAUGUAGAAAGCGUGAUUCAAUUCCUUCUCCGGACCCGGGUUCGACUCCCGGCAGCUCCACUU